rnacentral:rRNA from 1 species
UACGUAGGGUGCAAGCGUUAAUCGGAAUUACUGGGCGUAAAGCGUGCGCAGGCGGUGAUGUAAGACAGAUGUGAAAUCCCCGGGCUCAACCUGGGAGCUGCAUUUGUGACUGCAUCGCUGGAGUGCGGCAGAGGGGGAUGGAAUUCCGCGUGUAGCAGUGAAAUGCGUAGAUAUGCGGAGGAACACCGAUGGCGAAGGCAAUCCCCUGGGCCUGCACUGACGCUCAUGCACGAAAGCGUGGGGAGCAAACAGG